GGGCAGUUAGUUUACAUGGUAGAACGCAUCCACAUGGGUGAAAAACAGGUUCGAUUCCUGUACCGUCCA
rnacentral:tRNA from 1 species